rnacentral:rRNA from 1 species
GAUGAACGCUGGCGGCGUGCUUAAUACAUGCAAGUCGAGCGAACGGACGAGACGCUUGCUUCUCUCUUGUUAGCGGCGGACGUGAGUGUAACACGUGGAUCAUCUCCUUAUCAGACUGGGAUAACUUCGGGAAACCGGAGCUUAUACCGGAUAAUCUCUUGAACCGCAUGGUUCGAAAGUGAGAGACGGUCUUGCUGUCUCUUAUAGAUGGAUCUGCGCUGCAUUAGCUAGUUGGUAAGGUAACGGGCUUUCAAGGCUACGAUGCGUGACCGACCGGAGGGGGUGAUAGGCCGCACUGGAGCGUGAACGCGGUCCAUGCGCCUACGAGAGGCAGCAGUCGGGAACCGUCCGCAAUGGGCGAAAGCCUGACGGAACAACGCCGCGUGAGUUAUGAAGGUCUUCGGAUCGUAAAACUCUGUUAUGAGGGAAAAACAUAUUUGUAAGUAAACGUGCACAGCUUGACGGUACCUAAUCAGAAAGCCACGGCUAACUACGUG